rnacentral:rRNA from 1 species
GAAAGGAUUUAUUCGGUGCAGGAUGGGCCCGCAUCUGAUUAGCUAGUUGGUGAGAUAACAGCCCACCAAGGCGACGAUCAGUAGCCGACCUGAGAGGGUGACCGGCCACAUUGGGACUGAGACACGGCCCAAACUCCUACGGGAGGCAGCAGUGGGGAAUAUUGCACAAUGGGCGAAAGCCUGAUGCAGCAACGCCGCGUGAAGGAAGAAGGGUUUCGGCUCGUAAACUUCUAUCAACAGGGACGAAAGAAAUGACGGUACCUGAAUAAGAAGCCCCGGCUAACUACGUGCCAGCAGCCGCGGUAAUACGUAGGGGGCAAGCGUUAUCCGGAAUUACUGGGUGUAAAGGGUGAGUAGGCGGCAUGGUAAGCCAGAUGUGAAAGCCUUGGGCUUAACCCGAGGAUUGCAUUUGGAACUAUCAAGCUAGAGUACAGGAGAGGAAAGCGGAAUUCCUAGUGUAGCGGUGAAAUGCGUAGAUAUUAGGAAGAACACCAGUGGCGAAGGCGGCUUUCUGGACUGAAACUGACGCUGAGGCACGAAAGCGUGGGGAGCGAACAGGAUUAGAUACCCUGGUAGUCCACGCCGUAAACGAUGAGUGCUAGGUGUCGGGGAGGAAU